UACGAGGGGGGCGAGCGUUGUUCGGAAUUAUUGGGCGUAAAGGGUGCGUAGGCGGUUUGGUAAGUCUGAUGUGAAAUCUAUGGGCUCAACUCAUAGUCUGCAUCGGAAACUGCCGGGCUUGAGUGUGGGAGAGGUGAGUGGAAUUCCUGGUGUAGCGGUGAAAUGACGUAGAUAUCAGGAGGAACACCUGUGGCGAAAGCGGCUCACUGGACCAUAACUGACGCUGAUGCACGAAAGCUAGGGGAGCAAACAGG
rnacentral:rRNA from 1 species